UUUACAUGGACUUGUUUAGCUUUGGUGACAACGGUUUUUAAAAUUUAUUUUCUGCAGAUUGAAUAUCCAGUUCAACUACUUAUCUGUUGCGUGCCGAUGAGAUGCAACCUUACUUAUUUCUGACUUACCAUAUCUGAAAUGAAGUCUAAAUAAAAAUAGAUUGUGAUUAGGAAAGUUCCCAGGAGACUGGACAACCAGAGCUGGCACUAGAGAAUUCUGCAUUGUUAUUGGCUGUACUUGCGUGUUCAAGGGUGACAAAAGUAUAAACCUAUCUUAUUCAAGACUGACCUUGUCCACUAGAGAAAUACCAUUUACAGAUUCCUGUGGUGUGAUUAGAAUAUUGACCAGCCUGGAUACAAGCUCACAGACAGAUUUGACUGUUGUGAUGUUGUGAGUGUCCUGGCCUCUGCAGUGCCAAAGGGGUUCUGCAAUCAAGUCCUUCUGUCAGUGGGAAACAGUUCUGUUUUGCCAACCCAAAGCAUUCAAACUUCAUGAGUCAGGCCCCCUAAAAUCAUGACAUUAGCUUAAAAUAAUGGUUAAAAAAAUGAACAAUUGCAUUGCUUUUCCCCUGCCCGCUAACUGAUCACUCCAAAUUCACUUGUGACCAUUUCAGGUUCAAAAUUCAACCUUACAUGUACACAGAAUGAAUUCCCAAGUCUGCAGCCUCCCACUGGCUGUUUCAAAAGGGAUUUGCACUUACCCUCUAACUCCUGAGAUGGGGAGCUACAAUACUUUACUUCUU
rnacentral:lncRNA from 1 species